UGUAAUAAUAUUAAUUAUUUAUAUUAUUUUCUGGUGAUAAGCAAAAAGUUUUCAUUAUUUUUCAGAUGGGACGGUCACAGUUUGCAUGUUGUGUUCCAACAUGUGAUUACAAAUAUCCGGAAAGAAAUGAUCUUUGUUUUUUCAAGUUUCCUUUAGAAUCGAAGUGGAAGAAAAAAUGGAUAACAACUUUGGCAAAAGAAUUCCCUGACUCAAAAUUUUCAAGUACAUUGAAAACCAGACUUAAAAUUUGCUUACCCCGACAAGGGUUUUUUGAAAGUACUUGAAGAAGAACUAGAACAAAAUGUACCAGAAUUUGAUUCAUCUCCUUCUGCCUCUCAGGAUAUGAGCCACAUGAUGCUUCAAAACGCAUCACAUGUUGGAUUUUCAACUCCUCAACAAAACCGAAAAGAAGAAAGUCUGCAUUAAACAAAAUUGGAGAAAAAAAUGCAAAUUUUUUGACACCGAAGAAAAAAAAUUUAUAUAGUGAAUAUAAUAAGGAAAAGGGCAAAAUUGGCAAAUUGAGAAAGAAAUGUUUGAUGUUGAGCUUUAAUUGAGAAAAAAUUGAAAACUUCAGUACUGUCACGGCUGAGGACAAAAUAUUUGCAUUAGUGGUAUAAAAGAAGUCCAAAGUGUUAUCGGCUAAAAAAAAAAAAUUAAAUUACCGUAAAAAAGCACUAAUUGGAAUUCCACCACAAAUUGGAUUAGAUAUGAAGUUGUUGAUCCAUUUAAAACAAAAAUUGAGUGAGUCCAAGGAGGACUAUAUGAUAUGUGUAUUAUUUUUUGAUGAAAUCUCCCUUAGACGGGAUUAACCUAUGAUAAAACCUCUUGGAUACGUAGACUUCGGGCACCUUGGACGAACUAAAGAAGAGUCAAAUCAUGCCUUAGUUUUUAUGCUAGUGUCCCUGAAAGGUAGAUGGAAACCACCUAUCGCUUUCUUCUUUGCUAAAGAUCAAAUAAAAACGUAUAAUAUGAAACAGCUGCUCACUCACAUUCUGCAUAAUUUAAUUGAUAAUCGCAUCGAUGUGGUUGGUUGUGUCUGCGACCAAGGAACCCAGGAGGACAUCACAUUGUAAUUAACGAAAAAAAGUUUAUAUGUUGCAUGAUGUGCCACAUAUAAUUAAAAAUAUAGGAACAGCUUUAAGUCAGUAUGAUAUAUGUUUUGACAAAAAUAAAGUAGCGAAGUGGGCCCAUAUAAAAGAAGCGCCUAAAAUAGAUUUAUCUAGACGCCUUCAAGGUAUGUAUGUACAUUUUUUUAUAUUUACUAAAUGUAUAAUUUGCAGCAAUGAGAAAAAUUAGACCUGUACAUUUUAAUUUACACCAAAGUUACGUGAAAAUGAAAGUGUCAUAUGCCACACAAAUUUUUAGGGCAACGGCCACUGCUACGAUCGAAUCAAUGGUAGCAUCAAGUAAUCUAUCUGCAGAAGCUAUUAAUACAACUGAAUGUUAUAGUCACAUUAUUUGAUUCACUAAAUGGUCGAAAUAUCACACCCCCUCCAGGAAAACCAUUCAAAUGUGCCAUGAUGCCAAAUAUUGGCAACAUAAAAUUUUGGAAUCUACACAUUUUAAAAAUAAGUUGGAAAUAAUUAUAAAAAUGGCGUUCAACAAAAAUCUCCGAGAUGCGUACAAGGCCUCGUAUUCACAUUAAUUUCUUUAAAAGAAUUAUAUGGAGAGUAUUUUAAAAAUAAAACUUUAAAAACUAGAAAUGUCCAGCAAUAUCCCUUGGAAAACUUUUUUAGCCAUUAUUCGUCAGUAUGGAGGAGCAACAGUAAUCCCAACCCACAUCAAUUUAUUAGCUGCAUGAAAACUGCUAUUAUUAAUAACUUAUCGACUAAUAAAAAUAAUGCGAAAAAUUGCGAAGAUGACAAUUUUAAUCUAUUAAUAAAUCUCAAAGAAUUUAUUAAUUCUAAGAACAUAAACAUCACUUCUGAUUCAAAUGAAUUCUCCACCAUAGAGGAUGUCAAUACCUUGGACAAUUCAUUUUAAUCCGAAAUAAUAGCAUAUGUUUGUGGCAAUAUUAUAAAAAAGUUACAAACUAACUGUGAGACAUGUUUGGCAUGUUUUAAAUCAAAAGACCUACUCAGUGAGCACAACUUUGUUAAAGAAUAUGGCAUAAAAUUAAAUUAUUGCUCUACAGAAAUGGUCAAAAUGUGUGCCACAUUGCCAUGAUUUAAUAAAGAAAUGUUUAAACGAAUAUAAGUAAUAUAAAAGAAAAUUAAGUCAUUAUUUCAAAAAUAUCUUGAUACCAUUUAUAUUAACUGUUCCGAACAUAAAGUAGAAAUAACAAACAAAUUUUUUUUUGAUUAUGUAUCUAUUUCAUUUUAUUCAAAUAUGCAGAAGAUUAUAAUUGAAGUUAU